AAUUGACGGGGGCCCGCACAAGCGGUGGAGCAUGUGGUUUAAUUCGAUGCAACGCGAAGAACCUUACCUGGUCUUGACAUCCACAGAAGUUUCCAGAGAUGGGAAUGUGCCUUCGGGAACUGUGAGACAGGUGCUGCAUGGCUGUCGUCAGCUCGUGUUGUGAAAUGUUGGGUUAAGUCCCGCAACGAGCGCAACCCUUAUCCUUUGUUGCCAGCGGUCCGGCCGGGAACUCAAAGGAGACUGCCAGUGAUAAACUGGAGGAAGGUGGGGAUGACGUCAAGUCAUCAUGGCCCUUACGACCAGGGCUACACACGUGCUACAAUGGCGCAUACAAAGAGAAGCGACCUCGCGAGAGCAAGCGGACCUCAUAAAGUGCGUCGUAGUCCGGAUUGGAGUCUGCAACUCGACUCCAUGAAGUCGGAAUCGCUAUAAUCGUGAAUCAG
rnacentral:rRNA from 1 species